CCACAUACAGAGAGGCAUGGAGAAAAGGUGGGCUCUAAGCUGCCACUUCCGGUAGGAUUUGCUAAGGAUAUGAAAAGUUCAUCCAGGAGUGGGCCAAGCAAGAGGCUGAAUCCUAGUGCAGAAGUGAGGUGGGCAGACUGGGACAGGGGUGAGAAGAGCUGGGAAUGUGUGUACCCUUAACCCAUGAUGUUUCAGAGACAAAGAGGCUUUGCAGGUCCAGGGCCCUCUGGGGAGCCCCUAGCAGUUCGGUCUGAUGGAAAAGAGUGGAGGGAGUCUGAAGAGGCCUGAGGCCUGAAAAAAGAAAGGAAGCAGAAGCAGCAAACCUACCCGGAUCUUUCCAGAAGUGCUGGCAUUAAAGGCGUGAGCCACCACCGCCAGGAAGAUUUAAACAUUUUGAAGAUAGAAAACUCCUAGGUAUGUGUAAAUGUUAGCACAACGAAGGGGUGUGGAAGAUAUUGGUGACAUCAGCAACGACUUCCCCAAGUGCCAGCAGCAAGGCAUGGUGAAUGAAGACUGGAGGUUGUAUGAAGAUGUAGGCGUUUUUACAGGACAUGUCGUUACUUCUGGCCCUGCUCGCUGGUGUUCUCUCUCCUGCCAUCACUGCAGCCUUGUUCUUAGCACACAUGUGCACUUUGCAGAGGAGGCCUUCACACCAGAUGACACCAGUGAGCACCCUGAACCACCACUGCUCAUCUGAGAGACUAUGAGGUUGGAGAGAUGACUCAGCAGUUAAGCGAACUGACUGCUCUUCCAAAGGAACCAGGUUGGAGCCCUGCAUGGCAGCUCACAACCACCUAUAACUUCAGUUCCAGGAAAUCUAAUACAUUCUUCUGGCUUCUGUGGUCACUUCAUACACAUGUGAUACACUGACACACAUGUGGGCAAAACACCCAUACACAUAAAAUAAAAAUAAAUAAAAUUAAAUUUCUUUCAAUGAA